AUGGCUCAGGAUUAACGCUGGCGGCGUGCAUAACACAUUCAAGUCGAACGGAACAGUUUGCUUCGGUAAGCUGUUUAGUGGCGGACGGGUGAGUAACGCGUGAGCAAUCUACCUUCCAGUACGGGAUAACAACCGGAAACAGUUGCUAAUACCGUAUGAAAUGGCAAUCUCGCAUAAGAUAACCAUCAAAGGCUUGCUGCUGGAAGAUGAGCUUGCGUCUGAUUAGAUAGUUGGUGGGGUAACGGCCUACCAAGUCGACGAUCGGUAGCCGGACUGAGAGGUCGAACGGCCACAUUGGGACUGAGACACGGCCCAGACUCCUACGGGAGGCAGCAGUGGGGGAUAUUGCACAAUGGGCGAAAGCCUGAUGCAGCAACGCCGCGUGAGGGAAGAAGGUUUUCGGAUUGUAAACCUCUGUUUUUAGUGAAGAAGAAAGUGACGGUAGCAGAGGAGGAAGCCACGGCCAACUACGUG
rnacentral:rRNA from 1 species